AUUCCUACGGGAGGCAGCAGUAGGGAGUAUUGCGCAAUGGACGAAAGUCUGACGCAGCAACGCCGCGUGAGCGAUGAAGGUCUUCGGAUCGUAAAGCUCUGUCAGAGGGGACGAACCGCUUCCGGUUGAAUAGGCCGGAGGUCUGACGGUACCCUCAGAGGAAGCACCGGCCAACUCCGUGCCAGCAGCCGCGGUAAUACGGAGGGUGCAAGCGUUGUUCGGAUUUACUGGGCGUAAAGCGCGUGCAGGCGGGUCGGUAAGUCCUGUGUGCAAUCUCCCGGCUCAACCGGGAAACUGCACGGGAAACUACUGAUCUUGAGUGCGAGAGAGGAUGGCGGAAUUCCUGGUGUAGCGGUGAAAUGCGUAGAUAUCAGGAGGAACACCGGUGGCGAAGGCGGCCAUCUGGCUCGACACUGACGCUGAGACGCGAAGGCCGGGGGAGCAAACAGGAUUAGAUACCCUGGUAGUCCCGGCAGUAAACGUUGGACACUAGGUGUGGGGAGUUCGACCCUUUCCGUGCCGCAGCUUACGCAUUAAGUGUCCCGCCUGGGGAGUACGGCCGCAAGGUUGAAACUCAAAGGAAUUGACGGAAU
rnacentral:rRNA from 1 species